UAAGAUUAAGAAUCUAGCCAGAUUGUCUAGGUUCAGGUCCCCACACCACCUCUCAGUUAGUUAGAAGACCUUGGGUAAAUCAGUCAAUCUCCCUGAUUCACUGUUUCUUCCUCCAUCACAUGGAAACAAUAAUGCCAAACUCACGGGGCUGUUCUAAGGGUCUUAGCCAGUGUACAUAUAUAACUCAGGGCAGCAGCCAGUAAGUACCACAUAUAUUUACCAUCUUUAUCUUUAUUUACAUGUACUGAGGGCCUCAAAUGUAGACUUUCUGUGUUAGGGCCAUAUGAAGUUAUACAUUCAGACACAGAAACACAGGGUAGAAAGAAGUCCUUCACAUCUGUGAAACUGGUCCCAUCAUCAGACCACUCACCCUGUGGAUGUGAGCUCCAGGAGAGCAAGAGAACCCUAAUGAAUGAAUGAAUGACAGGGUAUAUUACUUGCACAUGAGAAAACUGAGGUUCCAAGGAGAGAGUCAGUUGUGGCCACAGAGCUGGGACGAAGGAGAGCCAGGACUUCCCAUUGACCAAAUCCAAGCCAAGGCUAGAAGGCAUAGAGCCGUUGAUGUCCUCCAUCCAAGUCAGCCAACCAGGGGAGAGGAAGGGAGGAGUAAGUCAAAGAAUGGACCUGCUGGUCCACAUGCAGGCUAUCUGGCACGUUUCAAAAUUGACAACUGAAACGUUCAUCUUAGGGACUUCCCUGGUGGCACAGUGGUUAAGAAUCUGCCUGACAACGCAGGGGACACGGGUUUGAGCCCUGGUCCAGGAAGAUCCCACAUACUGCGGAGCAACUAAGCUCAUGCGCCACAACUACUGAGCCACGAGUUGCAAAUACUGAAGCAUGUGCACCUAGAGCCCAUGCUCUGCAAGAGAAGCCACCACAAUGAGAAGCCCAUGCACCGCAACGAAGACUAAAUGCAGCCAAACAAUAAAUAAAUAAAUAAAAUUAAAGAUACUACAGUUUUUUAAAAAAUGAAAAUAAAAUGAAGGAAUGGAUAUAGAUCAAACUUUUAAAAAAAUAAUAAAAUAUUCAUCUUAAAUGUAAGCCAUUGCAAAGGAUAUACUUGCUAGCAUAUUGAAAAUAGUUUAAAUAAAACUGUUCCAUCAUCAGUUGAAUGUAAGUAUCAUCAUGGUUUGAUACUCACUAUCAUUCAUGUCAAGAAAAAAUCAGAACAAGCUGUACGUUAGCAGGCAGAAAUGCUACAUCAUUUUUUUUUCUUCUUGAAUGUGUAGUUACAUUUUGCUUCCUCUCACAGAAUGUUCUCCUAGGGUAAUAUAUUUUCUGCUGGAAAGUCUGUUAUUGAUUACCUAAUUCAUACUCCCAACAGAAAUUUAUAUAUAUGAUUGUACUUUAAGAAAUUUUGAAAUUUAAAUAAUUUAAAAUUUCUUUUGACUCUAAAGCUCUAUGUUUUAAAAUUUCUUCUGGGUUGAAAUAUCACUUAUUAUUGUAUUAGUACACAAUUGAUCAAAGCAAAAUAACAUAUA